GGACUACCGGGGUAUCUAAUCCUGUUUGCUCCCCUAGCUUUCGCGCCUCAGCGUCAGCCAUAGCCCAGAAAACCGUCUUCACCACCGGUGUUCCUCCACAUAUCUACGCAUUUUACCGCUACACGUGGAAUUCCGUUUUCCCUAACUAUGCUCUAGCCCGAUAGUUUCGAAUGCGGGUUCACAGUUGAGCCGUGAAAUUUCACAUCCGACUUGUCAGGCCGCCUACGCGCCCUUUACGCCCAGUAAUUCCGAUCAAUGCUUGCACCCUCCGUAUUACCGCGGCUGCUGGCAC
rnacentral:rRNA from 1 species